rnacentral:rRNA from 1 species
UACGAAGGGGGGCUAGCGUUGUUCGGAUUUACUGGGCGUAAAGCGCACGUAGGCGGUUUUGUUAAGUGAGAGGUGAAAUCCCAGAGCUCAACUCUGGAACUGCCUUUCAUACUGGCAAGCUAGAGUCCGGAAGAGGUAAGUGGAACUCCUAGUGUAGAGGUGGAAUUCGUAGAUAUUGGAAGAACACCAGUGGCGAAGGCGGCUUACUGGUCCGGA